GACUGUUCAAACGGCCUACCUAUUGCCAUGGCUCACAAAGGUAUUUUCCUAUCCAAACAUUGGUUGUACAAGAAAGCAGCAUUGAACAGAAAUCCUACACGUUCUAUGGUGAGGGAAAUUCAAUGGUACUUGUUGGAAAGACUGGAGUAGUUAAAUGUGAAACAGGGAAUACAAUAUGUGGAGCAGGAAA